GCAAAUUCUAUGGUUUAUAUUUCUUUUCUUCUUUCUUCUGUUUUUCUCUUAUCUUCACACGUUUUGACACAUGAACAAUUUAAAGAAAAUUCUAUGAUAAAUGUUGAUUGGUAUGAUCCUUCCGGAACUUGAUUUAAGAUGCGACCAACACUUGGUCCGGGUAGGAUUCUUCCUCCUGAUUCUCAUUAUUUUCGUUCGUGGUCGGAACGAGUUAAUGUUUGGCCUGAUCGUUUUUUUGGCUCGCCAAAAAAUAAGCACAACCCCGCCUCUUCUCCACCACACCCUCCACCAACUAAAAUGGAUCACCAUACUCACUCACUUGCAUUUCAUUACAAUGACGGUUUUAUAUCAGGUAAGAGAAGUCACGUGAUUCGAAAUCGGACGGGUCGGUUUCAUCAUCCUCAUUCUUGGGCGGACCAUUUCGAUUCUUGGCCUGGUCAUGCUUCGAAAAAACCGGCUCUUCAACCGCGACCCAAGAAAAAUAAGCGACGGCCUCCUCCGCCAACUAAUUAAUAAAAUGAACGGAAUUAUUUAAUAAUAAAAAAGUAUUAAUAAAAAAUAAUUAAAAUUUAUCUUAUUUAAUAUUUAUUAAUUAUUAUAAUAAUUAAUGAAUAUUAAAUAAAAUAAAUUUUGACUAUUUUUUUGUUAACAUAACA